rnacentral:lncRNA from 1 species
UUUUAAACGUCUUCCUGAAAAGAGAAAGACUUUACCAAUUUUUUUUUAACCCCUCUAUUUUCCAUCCUGUAAUCUACACAUGCAGCUCUUUAGUCGAGAUGAGUACCAUUUCAGGGAGAUGGCAUUUAUUUAUUUGUCCCACUUAAGCAUCAGCACAAAAAUUAAAAUGCAGGGUCAGUUAUCGCUGGGGAGUGUUCUCAGCACUGUAAUGUGGUUGCCAGGCAACCUGUGGGCGGGCGUUAGAUAGAGGAAGGGAAAGCUCUCAGCCUGCACUUCAAUAGCAGUAUUGGCUUUCAUUUCAAACGUGCUAAAUAAUAGGUCCAUGCAAUGCAAUUCGCCUCUUUUAGCCCAAUUUGCUUGCUUUUCUUCUUGAAUGGAAAAUUAAUCUGGUUUAGUACCGGGUAACAUUCGCAACCAUACAUUCUCUGCCAGGCACUAAAAGAAAAAAAAAAAGUGUUUUCCACUUUGGGAAAGAAGGAAGGUCUGUUUUUUUCUUCAUAUUUCACAAUCUUUCCUUCUUUCCUUCCUUCUUCCCUCCCUUCUUUUCUUUAUCUUUCCCCAUCUUUCUCUUUCGGUGAAGAAAACACAGGGUCCAGGCGAUGGAUUGAUGAGUUCAGGGAAAAAAGAGCCCCAGACAGCACUUUGCUAGCUGUAAACACCCUCACGUCUUCUAGAAAGCCACGUUUAACAAUUUCGAUAUGUUACCUUCUAUUCUGGAGCUUCUUAAACACUCAUAGACAUCGAGGCGCUGGAGGAGCCUGCGGUCAGCUGUCCCCCCGAUGAGCCUCAGCUCAGGCCUCAGCAGGACUUCUACCUCGAGCCGCAGCAGAAGCUGAAGUAAGCCGGGCCCCUCGCCUCGCCCCUUCCCGCAGCCGGGACCCCCAGCCUCCCUGCCUGUCACACAGAACGGCCAGGGCUUGCUCCCUCUUCUGCUCUUCGCUUGUCUGCCUUAGCUGCGCACAUCGUCUGAGGGGCCCAGAUUCGCUUCCCUUCCAACACGGCCGUUCUCGUGAGGGGCCAUGGAGGUAUACAUCCUGGAGUCAGAACUGCCUCCGGGCAGGAUGGGGUUAAAGCCAACUGGAGCACUCCUGAAAAUCUUAUCUUGGGAUGGGCUUGUCUCUUAUCUGUGGGCCUGAGGCAGUCACUUCACCUGUCUGAGCCUUCUUUACCUGCUUGCCUGCUAAGUCGCUUCAGCCAUGUUUGACUCUGCGACCCUAAAGAUGUAGCCUGCCAGGCUCCUCUGUCCAGUGAAAUUCUCCAGAAAAGAAUACCGGAGUGGGUUGCCAUGCCCUUCUCCGGGGAUCUUCCUGACCCGGG